rnacentral:rRNA from 1 species
GAUGAACGCUAGCUACAGGCUUAACACAUGCAAGUCGAGGGGAAACGAUAGGGAAAGCUUGCUUUUUCUAGGCGUCGACCGGCGCACGGGUGAGUAAAGCGUAUCCAACCUGCCCAUCACUUGGGGAUAAACUUGCGAAAGUAAGACUAAUACCCAAUGACGGCUCGAGCAGACAUCGGAAGGAGAUUAAAGAUUAAUAGGUGAUGGACGGGGAUGCGUGUGAUUAGCUUGUUGGCGGGGUAACGGCCCACCAAGGCGACGAUCAGUAGGGGUGCUGGGAGGAAGGUCCCCCACAUUGGAACUGAGACACGGUCCAAACUCCUACGGGAGGCAGUAGUGAGGAAUAUUGGUCAAUGGACGAGAGUCUGAACCAGCCAAGUAGCGUGCAGGAAGACGGCCCUAUGGGUUGUAAACUGCUUUUAUAAGGGAAUAAAGUGAGUCUCGUGAGACUUUUUGCAUGUACCUUAUGAAUAAGGACCGGCUAAUUCCGUGCCAGCAGCCGCGGUAA